UUAUAUAUAUAUAUAGACACACUCACACAUACACACAUAUUAACCUUUGGGUAGAAAAGCAUUAAGGGAUACAGGAGAUAGACAUAUUAUGCUUUACUAGCCAUAGGCUAUUUCUGGAUAUAUCCAGCCAUUUAUCCACUUAAUUCAAAAAAUAUUUAUUGAAUGACAAUGCCUGUUUUAAGCAUAUAAAGUGUAUGGUUAAAAUACAGACUAUACAAGUGCUCAUGCAACUUGCUUUCUAGUGAGAGAGAUAAUAAUAAAUAUAAAUAAUAAGGGAAUUAAUAAAUUUAUAUAUGUUAUUUAUACCCCUCUAACAUAUAUAUAUUCUUAUCCUUACAGGCUGCUUAAGUCUGAGCGAGACUUGAGACUCUGAGCUUCAAUGUUCUUAAGAGUAACGUGUGUGUGUGUGUGUGUGUGUGUGUGUGUGUGUGUACUCUAGAGGGAGUAAAAUCUGUGGUAAGAGAAAAAAGAGCAUGAAAUAAGGCUGGAGAGCGCAGGGUGUGUUGAAAAUUUAGAGUACUCAAGGUAAGUCUUAUUGAAAGAAGUGAAGCCUGUGAUACAGAAAAUAGCUGGUAAUUAUGACGUUUUUGAUGAUGUUUUUAAGAAAAGAACUGAGAAUACUGGAACACAGGAAUGGAAUAUUUUCAUAAUAUAUUUUUGUAUAUUGUUUGAAAUAAUUAACAUGUGAUUACAUAAAGUUUAAAAAGGCCAUAAAGUCAUUUACACAAUUCUGUGUCAAUAUUGUCAUAAGACCUAGACCUGUAGAAGUAAAUAUUUCUGAGUUUUUCUUACUUUUUCAAUUAUGCUUUUUUUCCCCAAUUAUGUUUUAAAUCUUAUCUUGGCUUAGUAGAAGUCCUGUAUUUUCACAGAUUCAUUGAUUUCAUCAAUCCAUUUCAACAUAUAGGCUGGUAGAUGAAUGGGUCUCCUGGCUGAUGAGGACAGGGUUGUUUUAGGAGCGUAGAAGGAAAACAGGCAAAAGUUUAUUUUAAUAACACCUGAUAUUGAUUCUGCUUAAUUUGCCCUAUAUGCAAAAGGUAAAAUGGAUUUAAUUAAAGGUAGUCUAUUGCACGUAUAAUGAUGAUUCAACCAUUAAUUGUACAACUAUAACUGUUAUUUAAGUAACAAAAUCAAAAAAUUUUUUUCAUUUGGUACUGGAAUUCAGUGCAGCUAGUUGCUCAAAUAAAAGCAAUAAAGAAAGUAUCAUGCAGAUUGAAUUCAUGUACCUGUUCUGCUAUGUAUUAACCAAUGCCUUUGGGCAAGUUAAAAAAAAAAAGUCUCUCUAACUCUUUUUUUCCUACUUGCUGGAAUAUAAAAAUUUCUCUAAUGUUUAUUCUGCUAGCUGGAAUUUUAAAAAUUACUCUAGUUUGCUUCUGCUAGUUGGAAUAGAAAUAAUUUGAUUGGAAGUCAGAUAGUCUAGAUUUGACUCUUAGUUCUUAUCCUUAUAGGCUGUUUAAGUUUGAGCAAGACUUUAGACUCAGAGCUUCAAUUUUCUCAAGAGUAAAAUAAGAAUACUGCUACCCACAUCACAGGAGUAUUUUUUAGUAUUAAAUGAGAUAAUCCAUGUGGAAAAUAUUAUUAUGUAAAAAUACUAUAAACUUCAGGUCAUAAAUGGCAGGCUGUUGGCCAAAUGUAGCCACAAAUAUGUUUGAAUUGGCUGUCAUAGUUUUGGCUUUUAGCAGCGCUGUAAAACAAUUUUAAUUAGUGGUCAACUUUCAAAGAUUUGUUAAUUUCACAUAAAAUAUGAACUUUUGAGUUUUCCUUAAAAAGUCAUAUUAGCUGGCAGUAUUGGGUUUGCGUUCUUCAUAGCAAAAGCAACAAAAUGCAAGUCUGAUUCUCACCUUGGAGGGGCUUUGCACUCCCAUCGGUUGCACUUCUCAUCAUUCAAUUAUCUUUUCCGUGACACUGAAGAAAGAGAGGCUCCGUUUUCCUUGUCUGGCAUCCAGGAUUGACUGCUCCUUCUUCACAAGGGUCUCUGCAGGUCCCAGUAUACCAAACACA
rnacentral:lncRNA from 1 species